CUUCGGGAAUGGAUUAGUGGUGAACGGGUGAGGAUCACGUGAGAAACCUGCCUUUCAUUUGGGAUAACACCGGGAAACCGGUGCUAAUACUGGAUACUCCGUCUUGGCGGCAUCGCCGAGCCGGGAAAGAUUUUUCGAUGAAAGAUGGUCUCGCGGCCUAUCAGCUAGUUGGUGAGGUAACGGCUCACCAAGGCAACGACGGGUAGCCGGCCUGAGAGGGCGACCGGCCACACUGGGACUGAGACACGGCCCAGACUCCUACGGGAGGCAGCAGUGGGGAAUAUUGGGCAAUGGGCGCAAGCCUGACCCAGCGACGCCGCGUGAGGGAUGAAGGCCUUCGGGUUGUAAACCUCUUUCAGUAGGGAAGAAGCGAAAGUGACGGUACCUAAAGAAGAAGCACCGGCUAACUAUGUGCCAGCAGCCGCGGUAAUACAUAGGGUGCAAGCGUUGUCCGGAAUUAUUGGGCGUAAAGAGCUCGUAGGUCGUUGGUCACGUCGAUUGUGAAAAUCUGAGGCUCAACCUCAGACCUGCAGUCGAUACGGACUAACUAGAGUGUGGUAGGGGAGACUGGAAUUCCUGGUGUAGCGGUGGAAUGCGCAGAUAUCAGGAGGAACACCAAUGGCGAAGGCAGGUCUCUGGGCCAUAACUGACACUGAGGAGCGAAAGCGCGGGGAGCGAACAGGAUUAGAUACCCUGGUAGUCCGCGCCGUAAACGGUGGGCACUAGCUGUGGGUCCCUUCCACGGGAUCCGCGACGCAGCAAACGCAUUAAGUGCCCCGCCUGGGGAGUACGAUCGCAAGAUUAAAACUCAAAGGAAUUGACGGGGCCCCGCACAAGCAGCGGAGCAUGCGGCUUAAUUCGACGCAACGCGAAGAACCUUACCAAGGCUUGACAUAUAGCGAAAAGUGGCAGAGAUGUCAUGUCCGCAAGGGCGCUAUACAGGUGGUGCAUGGUUGUCGUCAGCUCGUGUCGUGAGAUGUUGGGUUAAGUCCCGCAACGAGCGCAACCCUCGUUCUGUGUUACCAGCAUUUAGUUGGGGACUCACAGGAGACUGCCGGGGUCAACUCGGAGGAAGGUGGGGAUGACGUCAAAUCAUCAUGCCCCUUAUGUCUUGGGCUGCACGCAUGCUACAAUGGCCGGUACAAAGUGCUGCGAAAUCGUAAGAUUGAGCGAAUCACAUAAAGCCGGUCUCAGUUCGGAUUGAGGUCUGCAACUCGACCUCAUGAAGUCG
rnacentral:rRNA from 1 species